CUGCUUUUUAUAUGCAUCACUAACAGGUGACAUGUAGGCCGCAACAACAUGGUAGCCCUCUGAAUGCAAAGCAUCCCUUGCCAGCUCAAACAUUCGCAAGUGCAUAAAAGUUGGAGGAUUGAAACAACCGGUAGCUACAAGAACUACAUUUAUCUUGCUAUCAUCCGGUGUGUUAUUCGAUCCAAGAGAUACUUUGUCCAUUGGCAGUUCGAGAUCCAUGGCACCUUCAACUGACGUUGUUUGCUUAGCUUACGGUUGCCGACCGUCGCUUGCAGAGCUUCGAAGUGC
rnacentral:misc_RNA from 1 species